rnacentral:rRNA from 1 species
AGUGAACGCUGGCGGUAGGCCUAACACAUGCAAGUCGAACGGCAGCACAGAGGAGCUUGCUCCUUGGGUGGCGAGUGGCGGACGGGUGAGGAAUACAUCGGAAUCUACUCUGUCGUGGGGGAUAACGUAGGGAACCUUACGCUAAUACCGCAUACGACCUACGGGUGAAAGCAGGGGAUCUUCGGACCUUGCGCGAUUGAAUGAGCCGAUGUCGGAUUAGCUAGUUGGCGGGGUAAAGGCCCACAAAGGCGACGAUCCGUAGCUGGUCUGAGGGUCUGAUCAGGCACACUGGGACUGAGACACGGUCCAGUCUACUACGGGAGGCAGCAGUGGGGUAUAUUGGACAAUGGCCGCAAGCCUUAUCCAGCCAUACCGCGUGUGUGAAGAACGCCUUCGGGUUGUAAAGCCCUCUUGUUAGGAAAGAAAUCCAUCUGGUUAAUACCCGGGUGGGAUGACGGUACCCACAGAAUAAGCACCGGCUAACUUCGUGCCAGCCGCCGCGGUAA